GUCAGUGUUUUAUUUGGAUCUUUGUUUCCACAGGAGCAGGAACAUUAGAAGCUGCUGGAGUAACUGCUGCUGUUCUCCUGCCUGUCAUAUUCUUCUCUGUCUUCCUGUGGAUUCAAAAAAAGAGGAUGUCCAAGGAACCUGUUAAAUCUGAAGACAGAGCCAACAACAGAGAACAGUGUUUACCUGAUCAGAGACAGC